CCAAGCCUGCUCCAGACAGCAGCCCCCACCCUCCUUUUGUUCAGGUCACUGGAAGAGUGGGCCUAGGCUGGGGCCUGGCUGCUUGGAGAAGAUCCACCAGUGACCUAGCAGGGCUCAGAACUGGGGCUGGGCCCCGACAUUCCAAGUCAAUUCAGGACUCUCCUGGAGGAGAAGGGACCCAGAUUGUCCCCUGGAGUCACCAGCAUCUACGGCGACCUUCCCCAGCCGGUCUGCCCUGGAUCCUGGGGAUAGAGGGACAGCAUGGCAGGAAGUAGCCCACGCCACCUGGACAGGAACAAACCCACAGCCACCGGAGGAAGAGAGAGAAUGCCUGCAUGAUAAUCGUGGGGGCGGGGGCUCAGGGAGGCCUCUUUGAGGAGAUGGCCUUAACAUCUGAGAACUGAGAAGAAUUCAGCCUCACAAAGCCCAGGGACCCGGGUCCCCAGGAGGGAGAUGGGGCUGGGAGAUGCGGUGGAGUGGCCAGGUCAGGAGUGGCCCGCAGGAUUGGAGCCCAGGCCCGAACCUGGCAGGUCACCGGGGAGUCUCCUGCUUGUCCCAGAGCCAGUUCACAAGUCAGCAGCACGCAGCCACCCACCGAGGCUGAGCCUCUUCAAAUUCGCUUCGAUGUUUGCCGCGCACUGACUCAGGUCUCCAGGCCUCAGUUUCCUCACCCGCGAACUAGGGGCGAUCUCUGGGGACUGUUCUAAGGGCCUGUCUUGUGUGACGCUGUGUGCCACCCCACACAUCUUCAGCCCCGGAGAAAGAUUCUGGUGGUGGAAGCUGUUGAGUAAAUGCUCACUUGAGUUUCUCCCACUGCCUUGGAGUCCCUCUUCUGUUUUUCUCCAAAUUCUCUUUGUUGACAGAGUACACAGUUCAAAACCCCACACAGGGAUGAACGAGAGGACGCCCAGGUCCAGCCCAGCAGCGGCUUCCUGUCCCCUCCACCCCUCUCUUUCCCUCUGCCACUGCCAUCUACCGGGACGCUCUUCCUGGGCCCCUGUGGGACAAGGACUGCCUGUGGCUGAGGUCCCCUCCAUGCAGAACAUACAGCACAGGUGUGCCCCAAAGAUGAACAGAGAGAAGGAGGAGGAGGGUCCAAGAGAGACUUGGAAAUGAAUGCCAGGAAGCUCAGGCGCUGGACUUGUGUUUGGGGCGCCUGGCCUUUCCUUGUGUAUUUCUCCUGCUGUCUGUAUAACCAUUUAAUGCAAUAAACGAAAACCAGCCCUCAUUCUUGGGGUGUUCCCACC
rnacentral:lncRNA from 1 species